rnacentral:rRNA from 1 species
GAUGAACGCUGGCGGCGUGCCUAAUACAUGCAAGUCGAGCGAACGGACGAGAAGCUUGCUUCUCUGAUGUUAGCGGCGGACGGGAGAGUAACACGUGGAUAACCUCCCUAUAAUACUGGGAUAACUUCGGGAAACCGGAGCUAAUACCGGAUAAUAUUUUGAACCGCAUGGUUCAAAAGUGAAAGACGGUCUUGCUGUCACUUAUAGAUGGAUCCGCGCUGCAUUAGCUAGUUGGUAAGGUAACGGCUUACCAAGGCAACGAUGCAUAGCCGACCUGAGAGGGGGGUCGGCCACACUGGAACUGAGACGCGGUCCAGACUCCUAAGGGAGGCAGCAGUAGGGAAUCUUCCGCAAUGGGCGAAAGCCUGACGGAGCAACGCCGCGUGAGUGAUGAAGGUCUUCGGAUCGUAAUACUCUGUUAUUAGGGAAGAACAUAUGUGUAAGUAACUGUGCACAGCUUGACGGUACCUAGUCAGAAAGCCACGGCUAACUACGUG